rnacentral:rRNA from 1 species
UAGGGCAUACACCAAUGUACCAAACCCUAUCAAACUCCGAAUACCUUAUAUGUAAUCACAGCAGUCAGGCGGCGAGUGAUAAAAUCCGUCGUCAAGAGGGAAACAACCCAGACUACCAGCUAAGGUCCCUAAAUCUUACUUAAGUGGAAAACGAUGUGAAGUUACUUAAACAACCAGGAGGUUGGCUUAGAAGCAGCCAUCCUUUAAAGAAAGCGUAAUAGCUCACUGGUCUAGUGAUUUUGCGCGGAAAAUAUAACGGGGCUAAAGUAAGUACCGAAGCUGUAGACUUAGUUUACUAAGUGGUAGGAGAGCGUUCUAUUUGCGUCGAAGGUAUACCGGUAAGGAGUGCUGGAGCGAAUAGAAGUGAGCAUGCAGGCAUGAGUAGCGAUAAUUAAUGUGAGAAUCAUUAACGCCGUAAACCCAAGGUUUCCUACGCGAUGCUCGUCAUCGUAGGGUUAGUCGGGUCCUAAGUCGAGUCCGAAAGGGGUAGACGAUGGCAAAUUGGUUAAUAUUCCAAUACCAACAUUAGUGUGCGAUGGAAGGACGCUUAGGGCUAAGGGGGCUAGCGGAUGGAAGUGCUAGUCUAAGGUCGUAGGAGGUUAUACAGGCAAAUCCGUAUAACAAUACUCCGAGAACUGAAAGGCUUUUUGAAGUCUUCGGAUGGAUAGAAGAACCCCUGAUGCCGUCGAGCCAAGAAAAGUUUCUAAGUUUAGCUAAUGUUGCCCGUACCGUAAACCGACACAGGUGGGUGGGAUGAGUAUUCUAAGGCGCGUGGAAGAACUCUCUUUAAGGAACUCUGCAAAAUAGCACCGUAUCUUCGGUAUAAGGUGUGGUUAGCUUUGUAUUAGGAUUUACUCCGAAAGCAAGGAAACUUACAACAAAGAGUCCCUCCCGACUGUUUACCAAAAACACAGCACUCUGCUAACUCGUAAGAGGAUGUAUAGGGUGUGACGCCUGCCCGGUGCUCGAAGGUUAAUUGAUGGGGUUAGCAUUAGCGAAGCUCUUGAUCGAAGCCCGAGUAAACGGCGGCCGUAACUAUAACGGUCCUAAGGUAGCGAAAUUCCUUGUCGGUUAAAUACCGACCUGCAUGAAUGGCGUAACGAGAUGGGAGCUGUCUCAAAGAGGGAUCCAGUGAAAUUGUAGUGGAGGUGAAAAUUCCUCCUACCCGCGGCAAGACGGAAAGACCCCGUGGACCUUUACUACAGCUUGACACUGCUACUUGGAUAAGAAUGUGCAGGAUAGGUGGGAGGCUUUGAGUAUAUGACGCCAGUUGUAUAUGAGCCAUUGUUGAGAUACCACUCUUUCUUAUUUGGGUAGCUAACCAGCUUGAGUUAUCCUCAAGUGGGACAAUGUCUGGUGGGUAGUUUGACUGGGGCGGUCGCCUCCCAAAUAAUAACGGAGGCUUACAAAGGUUGGCUCAGAACGGUUGGAAAUCGUUCGUAGAGUAUAAAGGUAUAAGCCAGCUUAACUGCAAGACAUACAAGUCAAGCAGAGACGAAAGUCGGUCUUAGUGAUCCGGUGGUUCUGUGUGGAAGGGCCAUCGCUCAAAGGAUAAAAGGUACCCCGGGGAUAACAGGCUGAUCUCCCCCAAGAGCUCACAUCGACGGGGAGGUUUGGCACCUCGAUGUCGGCUCAUCGCAUCCUGGGGCUGGAGCAGGUCCCAAGGGUAUGGCUGUUCGCCAUUUAAAGCGGUACGCGAGCUGGGUUCAGAACGUCGUGAGACAGUUCGGUCCCUAUCUGCCGUGGGCGUAAGAAGAUUGAAGAGAUUUGACCCUAGUACGAGAGGACCGGGUUGAACAAACCACUGGUGUAGCUGUUGUUCUGCCAAGAGCAUCGCAGCGUAGCUAAGUUUGGAAAGGAUAAACGCUGAAAGCAUCUAAGCGUGAAGCCAACUCUAAGAUGAAUCUUCUCUAAGCUCUCUAGAAGACUACUAGUUUGAUAGGCUGGGUGUGUAAUGGAUGAAAGUCCUUUAGCUGACCAGUACUAAUAGAGCGUUUGGCUUAUCUUUAAUAAAGCAU